UACAGAGGGUGCGAGCGUUAAUCGGAAUGACUGGGCGUAAAGCGCACGUAGGCGGUUAUACAAGUUGGGUGUGAAAUCCCUGGGCUCAACCUAGGAAUUGCAUUCAAAACUAUAUGACUUGAGUGAAGUAGAGGUAAGUGGAAUUUCCGGAGUAGCGGUGAAAUGCGUAGAUACCGGAAGGAACACCAGUGGCGAAGGCGACUUACUGGGCUUUAACUGACGCUGAGGUGCGAAAGCAUGGGGAGCGAACAGG
rnacentral:rRNA from 1 species